UAGCUAGUUGGUGAGGUAAAGGCUUACCAAGGCGACGAUCUGUAGCGGGUCUGAGAGGAUGAUCCGCCACACUGGAACUGAGACACGGUCCAGACUCCUACGGGAGGCAGCAGUGGGGAAUUUUGGACAAUGGGGGCAACCCUGAUCCAGCCAUGCCGCGUGAGUGAAGAAGGCCUUCGGGUUGUAAAGCUCUUUCGGCCGGGAAGAAAUCGCAUGGGCCAAUACCCUGUGUGGAUGACGGUACCGGAAUAAGAAGCACCGGCUAACUACGUGCCAGCAGCCGCGGUAAUACGUAGGGUGCGAGCGUUAAUCGGAAUUACUGGGCGUAAAGCGUGCGCAGGCGGUUUUGUAAGACAGGCGUGAAAUCCCCGGGCUUAACCUGGGAACUGCGUUUGUGACUGCAAGGCUAGAGUACGGCAGAGGGGGGUGGAAUUCCACGUGUAGCAGUGAAAUGCGUAGAGAUGUGGAGGAACACCAAUGGCGAAGGCAGCCCCCUGGGUCGAUACUGACGCUCAUGCACGAAAGCGUGGGUAGCAAACAGGAUUAGAUACCCUGGUAGUCCACGCCCUAAACUAUGUCAACUAGGUGUUGGGUGGGUAAAACCAUUUAGUACCGUAGCUAACGCGUGAAGUUGACCGCCUGGGGAGUACGGCCGCAAGGUUAAAACUCAAAGGAAUUGACGGGGACCCGCACAAGCGGUGGAUGAUGUGGAUUAAUUCGAUGCAACGCGAAAAACCUUACCUACCCUUGACAUGCCAGGAACUUGCCAGAGAUGGCUUGGUGCCCGAAAGGGAGCCUGGACACAGGUGCUGCAUGGCUGUCGUCAGCUCGUGUCGUGAGAUGUUGGGUUAAGUCCCGCAACGAGCGCAACCCUUGUCGUUAAUUGCCAUCAUUUAGUUGGGCACUUUAACGAGACUGCCGGUGACAAACCGGAGGAAGGUGGGGAUGACGUCAAGUCCUCAUGGCCCUUAUGGGUAGGGCUUCACACGUCAUACAAUGGUCGGUACAAAGGGUUGCCAAGCCGCGAGGCGGAGCCAAUCCCAGAAAGCCGAUCGUAGUCCGGAUUGCAGGCUGCAACUCGCCUGCAUGAAGUCGGAAUCGCCAGUAAUCGUGGAUCAGCAUGUCACGGUGAAUACGUUCCCGGGUCUUGUACACACCGCCCGUCACACCAUGGGAGCGGGUUCCGCCAGAAGUAGGUAGCCUAACCGCAAGGGGGGCGCUUACCACGGCGGGGUUCGUGACUGGGGUGAAGUCGUAACAAGGUAGCCGUAGGGGAACCUGCGGCUG
rnacentral:rRNA from 1 species